AGUGAAGCGGCAAAAGCUCAAAUUUGAAAUCUGGUACCUUUGGUGCCCGAGUUGUAAUUUGGAGAGUACCACUUUGGGACUGUACUUUGCCUAUGUUCCUUGGAACAGGACGUCAUGGAGGGUGAGAAUCCCGUGUGGCGAGGGUGUCAGUUCUUUGUAAAGGGUGCUCGAAGAGUCGAGUUGUUUGGGAAUGCAGCUCUAAGUGGGUGGUAAAUUCCAUCUAAAGCUAAAUACAGGCGAGAGACCGAUAGCGAACAAGUACAGUGAUGGAAAGAUGAAAAGAACUUUGAAAAGAGAGUGAAAAAGUACGUGAAAUUGUUGAAAGGGAAGGGCAUUUGAUCAGACAUGGUGUUUUGCGCCCCUUGCCUCUCGUGGGCUUGGGACUCUCGCAGCUCACUGGGCCAGCAUCGGUUUUGGCGGCCGGAAAAAACCUAGGGAAUGUGGCUCUGCGCCUCGGUGUAGAGUGUUAUAGCCCUGGGGAAUACGGCCAGCCGGGACCGAGGACUGCGAUACUUGUUAUCUAGGAUGCUGGCAUAAUGGUUAUAUGCCGCCCGUC
rnacentral:rRNA from 1 species